rnacentral:rRNA from 1 species
UACGUAGGGAGCAAGCGUUGUCCGGAAUCAUUGGGCGUAAAGCGCGUGUAAGCGGCUUGGUAAGUCUGCUCUGAAAGCCCGGGGCUCAACCCCGGGAGGCGGGUGGAUACUGCUGAGCUCGAGUCCGGAAGAGGCGAGUGGAAUUCCUGGUGUAGCGGUGAAAUGCGCAGAUAUCAGGAGGAACACCAAUGGCGAAGGCAGCUCGCUGGGACGGUACUGACGCUGAGACGCGAAAGCGUGGGGAGCAAACAGG